GUCAGAGCAGUACCGGCUGACAGGGCACGGCUUAUCCGUGUCAGUGGUCGGUAAACUCUCCGACUUGAGGGCCAGAGAGGGACAGGGAACUCCGGGUGGAGUGGUGAAAUGCGUAGAUAUCCGGAAGAACACCAAUGGCGAAGGCACUGUCCUGGAUGGUACCUGACGCUCAGGUGCGAAAGCUAGGGGAGCGAACAGGAUUAGAUACCCUGGUAGUCCAUGCCGUAAACGUUGGGCGCUAGGUGUGGGGUCCAUUCCACGGGUUCCGUGCCGCAGCUAACGCAUUAAGCGCCCCGCCUGGGGAGUACGGUCGCAAGAUUAAAACUCAAAGGAAUUGACGGGGGCCCGCACAAGCGGCGGAGCAUGCGGAUUAAUUCGAUGCAACGCGAAGAACCUUACCAAGGCUUGACAUACACCGGAAACAUCCAGAGAUGGGUGCCCCGCAAGGUCGGUGUACAGGUGGUGCAUGGUUGUCGUCAGCUCGUGUCGUGAGAUGUUGGGUUAAGUCCCGCAACGAGCGCAACCCUCGUUCUAUGUUGCCAGCGGAUAAUGCCGGGGACUCAUAGGAGACUGCCGGGGUCAACUCGGAGGAAGGUGGGGAUGACGUCAAAUCAUCAUGCCCCUUAUGUCUUGGGCUUCACGCAUGCUACAAUGGCCGGUACAAAGGGCUGCGAUACCGCAAGGUGGAGCGAAUCCCAAAAAACCGGUCUCAGUUCGGAUUGGGGUCUGCAACUCGACCCCAUGAAGUCGGAG
rnacentral:rRNA from 1 species